rnacentral:rRNA from 1 species
UGAGUGCGAGCUUCUACGGAAGCGAAGUUGGUGACGUCAAGCUUCCAAGAAAAGCCCUAUACCCGUUAAGGCAUGAUUACCUGUACCCGAAACCGACACAGGUGGGGUGGUAGAGAAUACCGAGGGGCGCGAGGUAACUCUCUCUAAGGAACUCGGCAAAAUGACCCCGUAACUUCGGGAGAAGGGGUGCCAGCGCGAGCUGGUCGCAGUGAAUAGGCCCAGGCGACUGUUUACCAAAAACACAGGUCUCCGCUAAGUCGCAAGACGAUGUAUGGGGGCUGACGCCUGCCCAGUGCCGGAAGGUUAAAGAAGUUGGUCAGCGCAAGCGAAGCUAACGACUGAAGCCCCGGUGAACGGCGGCCGUAACAAUAACGGUCCUAAGGUAGCGAAAUUCCUUGUCGGGUAAGUUCCGACCCGCACGAAAGGCGUAACGAUCUGGGCGCUGUCUCGGAGAGAGGCUCGGCGAAAUAGAAUUGUCUGUGAAGAUGCGGACUACGUGCACCCGGACAGAAAGACCCUAUGAAGCUUUACUGUAGCUUGGUAUUGUGCUCGGGCUCGCAAUGCGCAGGAUAGGUGGGAGGCUUUGAUCCAUUGCUUGUGGGUGAUGGUGAGCCACUGGUGAGAUACCACUCUUUGCGAGCUAGGGUUCUAACGGUUACCCGUCAUCCGGGAACCGGACAGUAUCUGGUGGGCAGUUUGACUGGGGCGGUCGCCUCCUAAAAGGUAACGGAGGCGCGCAAAGGUUUGCUCAGGCUGGUUGGAAAUCAGCCGACGAGUGUAAAAGCAGAAGCAAGCUUGACUGUGAGACCUACAAGUCGAACAGGGAGGAAACUCGGCUUUAGUGAUCCGACGGUUCUGAGUGGAAGGGCCGGCGCUCAACGGAUAAAAGUUACUCUAGGAUAACAGGCUGAUCUCCCCCAAGAGUUCACAUCGACGGGGAGGUUUGGCACCUCGAUGUCGGCUCAUCGCAACCUGGGGCUGAAGUCGGUCCCAAGGGUUGGGCUGUUCGCCCAUUAAAGCGGUACGCGAGCUGGGUUCAGAACGUCGUGAGACAGUUCGGUCCAUAUCCGGUGCAUGCGCAGGAAUAUUGAGAGGAUUUCUCCCUAGUACGAGAGGACCGGGAGGAACGCACCUCUGGUGUACCAGUUAUCGUGCCAACGGUAAACGCUGGGUAGCCAUGUGCGGAGUGGAUAACCGCUGAAAGCAUCUAAGUGGGAAGCCCACCUCAAGAUGAGUAUUCCCAUGGCUUAAGCCAGUAAGGUCACGGGAAGAACACCCGUUGAUAGGCUCUAUGUGGAAGCGCAGUAAUGCGUGAAGCAGAGGAGUACUAAUAGACCGAGGGCUUGACC